AGGAGGAACAACCUCCGCAGCAGCGGCCAGCUGUGGAGCCCUUGAGUCAGCUGCUGCAGUAACUCCGGAGCUCUCCGUCUGCAGCGCCUGGAGGCUCCGGGGCGGG
rnacentral:pre_miRNA from 1 species